UACGGGGGGGGCAAGCGUUGUUCGGAAUUACUGGGCUUAAAGGGUGCGUAGGCGGCGUGGAAAGUUGGGUGUGAAAGCCCUCGGCUCAACCGAGGAAUUGCGCCCAAAACUUCCAUGCUUGAGGAAGAUAGAGGUGAGCGGAACUCAGGGUGGAGCGGUGAAAUGCGUUGAUAUCCUGAGGAACACCGGUGGCGAAAGCGGCUCACUGGAUCUUUUCUGACGCUGAGGCACGAAAGCUAGGGUAGCGAACGGG
rnacentral:rRNA from 1 species